rnacentral:rRNA from 1 species
GAUGAACGCUGGCGGCGUGCCUAAUACAUGCAAGUCGAGCGAACGGAUGAGAAGCUUGCUUCUCUGAAGUUAGCGGCGGACGGGUGAGUAACACGUGGAUAACCUACCUAUAAGACUGGGAUAACUUCGGGAAACCGGAGCUAAUACCGGAUAAUAUUUAGAACCGCAUGGUUCAAAAGUGAAAGACGGUCUUGCUGUCACUUAUAGAUGGAUCCGCGCUGUAUUAGCUAGUUGGUAAGGUAACGGCUUACCAAGGCAACGAUGCGUAGCCGACCUGAGAGGGUGAUCGGCCACACUGGAACUGAGACACGGUCCAGACUCCUACGGGAGGCAGCAGUAGGGAAUCUUCCGCAAUGGGCGAAAGCCUGACGGAGCAACGCCGCGUGAGUGAUGAAGGUCUUCGGAUCGUAAAACUCUGUUAUUAGGGAAGAACAUAUGUGUAAGUAACUGUGCACAUCUUGACGGUACCUAAUCAGAAAGCCACGGCUAACUACGUG